GUGCACCUAUACGCGUGAGUUUGACGUCAUCCCGGCUGAAGGAGCAUGCAAGUAUUACGCAAUACAAUCGCGUGCGAGUAAAACCCGAUAUCUUGAAAAAUUCAAAAUAAAUAUUUCUACUCGUCGUAUCCAAACGAAACUUUCUACACGAAAGCGCUUGAAUACAAGGAGUAUUUUACCCAUAUAGCCGAUCAGAAUGUAACGAAAAGUUUAGAAGAUAUUCAGCUUUUUCUCAAUAUGAAAUACAGAAUGUUUGGCCAAGCAGUGAGUAAAUAUAUGAUUGCUUCGGUUUGUGU